rnacentral:rRNA from 1 species
AUUGAACGCUAGCGGGAUGCCUUACACAUGCAAGUCGAACGGCAGCAUAAGAGAGCUUGCUCUCUUGAUGGCGAGUGGCGAACGGGUGAGUAACACGUGAGGAACCUGCCCUUCAGAGGGGGACAACAGUUGGAAACGACUGCUAAUACCGCAUAAGACCACAGAGCCGCAUGGCUCGGGGGUCAAAGGAGAAAUCCGCUGAAGGAUGGCCUCGCGUCCGAUUAGCUAGUUGGCGGGGUAACGGCCCACCAAGGCGACGAUCGGUAGCCGGACUGAGAGGUUGAUCGGCCACAUUGGGACUGAGACACGGCCCAG